rnacentral:rRNA from 1 species
CGGUGGAGCAUGUGGUUAAUUCGAAGCAACGCGAAGAACCUUAUCAGGCUUGACAUCCGAUGCUAUUUCUAGAGAUAGAAGUUACUUCGGUACAUCGGUGACAGGUGGUGCAUGGUUGUCGUCAGCUCGUGUCGUGAGAUGUUGGGUUAAGUCCCGCAACGAGCGCAACCCCUAUUGUUAGUUGCCAUCAUUCAGUUGGGCACUCUAGCGAGACUGCCGGUAAUAAACCGGAGGAAGGUGGGGAUGACGUCAAAUCAUCAUGCCCCUUAUGACCUGGGCUACACACGUGCUACAAUGGUCUGAACAGAGGGCUGCGAAACCGCGAGGUGAAGCUAAUCCCUUAAAACAGAUCUCAGUUCGGAUUGCAGGCUGCAACUCGCCUGCAUGAAGUUGGAGUUGCUAGUAAUCGCAGAUCAGAAUGCUGCGGUGAAUGCGUUCCCGGGUCUU